GGUAUCUGUCAUCUUUGAGAAUGUGCACUGCUGCCAAGGAGCAAGGUCAUGGAGACAUGCUCUGACCGUUAGGGAAUAAUGGUCCAUAUGUUCCAUAGUUUGCUGAGAUAAUGGAUCUCACUGAGUGGAGGAGAAAGUGGAGCAACGAGAUGGCUGGCUUCUUGUGGUCUAGCAAAAGGAAGACUCUAAGUUUCUCUAGCACGGUCAUAAUA
rnacentral:lncRNA from 1 species